CCUACGGGGGGCAGCAGUAGGGAAUCUUCCGCAAUGGGCGAAAGCCUGAUGGAGCAACGCCGCGUGGGUGAAGAAGGUCUUCGGAUCGUAAAACCCUGUUGUUAGAGAAGAAAGUGCGUGAGAGUAACUGUUCACGUUUCGACGGUAUCUAACCAGAAAGCCACGGCUAACUACGUGCCAGCAGCCGCGGUAAUACGUAGGUGGCAAGCGUUAUCCGGAUUUAUUGGGCGUAAAGGGAACGCAGGCGGUCUUUUAAGUCUGAUGUGAAAGCCUUCGGCUUAACCGGAGUAGUGCAUUGGAAACUGGGAGACUGGAGUGCAGAAGAGGAGAGUGGAACUCCAUGUGUAGCGGUGAAAUGCGUAGAUAUAUGGAAGAACACCAGUGGCGAAAGCGGCUCUCUGGUCUGUAACUGACGCUGAGGUUCGAAAGCGUGGGUAGCAAACAGGAUUAGAUACCCUGGUAGUC
rnacentral:rRNA from 1 species